AGUGAACGCUGGCGGCAGGCCUAAUACAUGCAAGUCGAACGGCAGCACAGCAGAGCUUGCUCUGUGGGUGGCGAGUGGCGGACGGGUGAGGAAUACAUGGGAAUCUGCCCAGUCGUGGGGGAUAACGUAUGGAAACGUACGCUAAUACCGCAUGCGCCCUUUGGGGGAAAGCCGGGGACCUUCGGGCCUGGCGCGAUUGGAUGAGCCCAUGUUCGAUUAGCUAGUUGGCGGGGUAAAGGCCCACCAAGGCGACGAUCGAUAGCUGGUCUGAGAGGAUGAUCAGUCACACUGGGACUGAGACACGGCCCAGACUCCUACGGGAGGCAGCAGUAGGGAAUAUUGGACAAUGGGCGCAAGCCUGAUCCAGCCAUGCCGCGUGAGUGAAGAAGGCCCUCGGGUUGUAAAGCUCUUUUGUCCGGAAAGAAAAGCAUUCGGUUAAUACCCGGGUGUUCUGACGGUACCGGAAGAAUAAGCACCGGCUAACUUCGUG
rnacentral:rRNA from 1 species